UACAGAGGUGGCAAGCGUUGUUCGGAAUUACUGGGCGUAAAGGGUGCGUAGGCGGCCGGGUAAGUCUGAUGUGAAAUCUCACAGCUUAACUGUGAAACUGCAUUGGAUACUAUCCGGCUCGAGGAAUGGAGGGGAGACUGGAAUACUUGGUGUAGCAGUGAAAUGCGUAGAUAUCAAGUGGAACACCAGUGGCGAAGGCGAGUCUCUGGACAUUUCCUGACACUGAGGCACGAAAGCCAGGGGAGCAAACGGG
rnacentral:rRNA from 1 species